CCUACGGGGGGCAGCAGUGGGGGAUAUUGCACAAUGGGGGGAACCCUGAUGCAGCGACGCCGCGUGGGUGAAGAAGCGCCUCGGCGCGUAAAGCCCUGUCAGCAGGGAAGAAAAUGACGGCACCUGAAGAAGAAGCCCCGGCUAACUACGUGCCAGCAGCCGCGGUAAUACGGAGGGGGCAAGCGUUAUCCGGAUUUACUGGGUGUAAGGGGGGCGCAGACGGGGAUGCAAGCCAGGAGUGAAAGCCCGGGGCCCAACCCCGGGACUGCUCGUGGAACUGCGUGGCUGGAGUGCAGGAGGGGCAGGCGGAAUUCCUGGUGUAGCGGUGAAAUGCGUAGAUAUCAGGAGGAACACCGGUGGCGAAGGCGGCCUGCUGGACUGCAACUGACGUUGAGGCCCGAAAGCGUGGGGAGCAAACAGGAUUAGAUACCCGAGUAGUC
rnacentral:rRNA from 1 species